UUGACCUCAAAUCAGGUAGGACUACCCGCUGAACUUAAGCAUAUCAAUAAGCGGAGGAAAAGAAACUAACAAGGAUUCCCUUAGUAACUGCGAGUGAAGAGGGAAAAGCUCAAAUUUAAAAUCUGACAGUGUUUCACU
rnacentral:rRNA from 1 species